ensembl:snoRNA Gm26074 small nucleolar RNA SNORA17
UGUGCCCCUUGAGACCUUGCAGAUGUGGCUGCUGUGUCACAUGUGCAGUAGGUGGCACAGAGGGGAGAGACUAUGUCUAUGCUCAGUGCUCUGACCUAUGAACAUCUGAGUGAUUAGUAGCCUAAGAUU